UACAGAGGGUGCGAGCGUUAAUCGGAAUUACUGGGCGUAAAGCGUGCGUAGACGGCUAUCUAAGUCGGGUGUGAAAGCCCCGGGCUCAACCUGGGAAUUGCAUUCGAGACUGAAUAGCUAGGGUACGGUAGAGGGAAGUGGAAUUUCCGGUGUAGCGGUGAAAUGCGUAGAUAUCGGAAGGAACAUCAGUGGCGAAGGCGGCUUUCUGGCCUGUUCUUGACGCUGAGGCGCGAAAGCCAGGGGAGCAAACGGG
rnacentral:rRNA from 1 species